GGAGCGCCUGGCCUCGUUACUGUUUUUAUCCUCCUGAAUCCCUCUCCCUGUUCUGGAUCCCAUUCCGGAUUUUAACUGUGUUUGCUUCGUCUUGGAUGAAUCCCCCAGUUUUGGACUCAGGACUGCAGCCCGGAAUCCCCCCUUUGGAGUUCCCUGAACGUGUUUGCCAUCGCCACGCCCCCCGAGCACCGGAUCACCGCCGUCACCCAUCCUGAUCCUCUUCGUCUCCUCCCCUGAUGUCCUUCUCCACUUGCUUCCGGAUUACACCGUCUGCACAGGGUCCUGAACUACUCUUCACGGGAGCCUGGACCGGCUCCCGUUACAUCAUGGUUGUAAAGCACCUUGAGAAAAUGUUCCAUGAGAGGUGUUAUAAAAAAUGAAGAUGAUUAUUAUGGUGAUUGCCUGUGUUUCUUUCUUUGUUAGGUUCUCGACUAGGCUGUGUGAGACACCUCUGCCUGCAGGAGCAGGAAAAUGCAUGAAAGAAGCUCAGGCGAGAUGUAGCCAUUAAGGUCUGACAAGAUUAGUGAGGCAGCAGAGCGAGUGACUCCAGGACUUGUAAUCAGAAGGGCUGUGGCCCCCAGAUUCUGGAUGGGACCCCAUUACGAAAGCACCCCUGCACCAGGUCUGGUCCACACCCCAGAGAUGUCAACCCUGACUGCAGUAAUUGAUGAGUGCCUCUGUCAACUGCUUCCAGUGGGCUAAAAUAAGGAGGUGGGAGCUCCUCCCUAAAAAAGGAGCAGCUGUAGAGAUAAAGGAGAAGAGCCUCUGCAGACCUAGAAGCCAGCACCUACUCACCCGGUGUGUCAUGAGGAUGGAUAACCGGGGGAACGUCGACCCUUCGAAGCAGCUCUUUCAGGAAAUAGCUGCAUGACCUCAGCCCAUGACUAACUUUUAACUGCGCUGACAUGAUGUAUCACUGGGCUCCGUUCUGUACACUAGAGCUCCGAAUGAGGGAAGGCUUCGGCACUUUGAGGUGACAGGGAUGAAAAAUGUUACCUUUAAUUCUGGAAGUCAUCACACGUGGGUGUUGGCAUUAUGGGAUAUGUACUGUGGGUACAGUGGAGUCUGCUGUCUGGAGCUCAGCCAGCAGCUCAAUGUGGGCAAGACUGAAGAAGUCAAGGCUCGUGCAGGAAAGGGCUGCAGUGGAACCUUUGGUCAGUCUCCUCACACUGCCUGCUGAAUGACGCAGCAGUAAGGUCUUCCAACUGAAGCUUAUAACUUCACCAACUUUAGGAAUGCCCUGAAACCCUCUGCGGUCAAGUUGAAAAACAGCUGUAAGGGUGCGAACAAGGCCAUUCAGAGUUCGGCCCAAUCACUACCCUGUGUGUGAGACUUCAUCUGUCGCGGCGGCGAGAGGCAGUUUUCCACGGCCUGGGAGGGCAGCCAUGGAGAGUCCAUCGUUUCUGGAUUCAGGUCACGCCUGCUCCUCAGCUGUGCGUUCAGCGCAGACUCCACUGGGAUCGGACCCUUCCCGCAUCGUCUCGAGGCACAGUGCGCCGUUCGCUUUAGUAAAAAAACACGUCGGAUUCAAUUGCUGGAAGUGCAAUAUAAAACAAAGCAGAAGCAUCCUCCCAGCACUUGACCUUGCCCUGUUCGCUUAUCGAUUUGCUUUCCCUUAUUACCCCACAGAUUCGCUCUCGCUGAGAAAAAAAAACCUGUUUUAAAUGAGUGGUUUGCUUUUGUCAUGCCAGGCAUUGAUUCAGCUCUUGCUGCCAUUUCCCCAGAUGUAAGAGUCAUAUUUUCUGACAAGCGUGUUGCACCAGCCAGCUGUUGCCAGGUGUGGAGGCUGGGGCCUGGGGGCUCACUCCAGGAACCUGUUG